rnacentral:rRNA from 1 species
UAGUCCACGCCGUAAACGAUGAUAACUAGCUAUUCGGGCACAUGGUGCUUGGGUGGCGCAGCUAACGCAUUAAGUUAUCCGCCUGGGGAGUACGGUCGCAAGAUUAAAACUCAAAGGAAUUGACGGGGGCCUGCACAAGCGGUGGAGCAUGUGGUUUAAUUCGAAGCAACGCGCAGAACCUUACCAGCCUUUGACAUCCUGGUCGCGGAUUAGAGAGAUCUUUUCCUUCAGUUCGGCUGGACCAGUGAC